rnacentral:tRNA from 1 species
GCCUCCUUAGCUCAGCUGGUUAGAGCGCCGGACUGUUAAUCCGUAGGUCCUAGGUUCGAGCCCUAGAGGAGGCGCAA